UGGCCUACGGGGGGCAGCAGUGGGGAAUAUUGCACAAUGGGGGAAACCCUGAUGCAGCAACGCCGCGUGAGUGAAGAAGUCAUUCGUGAUGUAAAGCUCUAUCAGCAGGGAAGAAAAUGACGGUACCUGAGUAAGAAGCCCCGGCUAACUACGUGCCUGCAGCCGCGGUAAUACGUAGGGGGCAAGCGUUAUCCGGAUUUACUGGGUGUAAAGGGAGCGUAGACGGCAGCGCAAGUCUGGAGUGAAAUGCCGGGGCUCAACCCCGGAACUGCUUUGGAAACUGUGCAGCUAGAGUGCGGGAGAGG
rnacentral:rRNA from 1 species